UGGGGAAUAUUGCGCAAUGGGGGAAACCCUGACGCAGCAACGCCGCGUGAAGGAUGAAGGUUUUCGGAUCGUAAACUUCUUUGAUAGGGGACGAACAAAGACGGUACCCUAAAAACAAGCCACGGCUAACUACGUGCCAGCAGCCGCGGUAAUACGUAGGUGGCGAGCGUUGUCCGGAAUUACUGGGUGUAAAGGGCGUGUAGGCGGGAAUGUAAGUCAGAUGUGAAAUACCGAGGCUUAACCUCGGGGCUGCAUCUGAAACUAUGUUUCUUGAGUGUCGGAGAGGAAAGUGGAAUUCCCAGUGUAGCGGUGAAAUGCGUAGAGAUUGGGAGGAACACCAGUGGCGAAGGCGACUUUCUGGACGAUAACUGACGCUGAGGCGCGAAAGCGUGGGGAGCAAACAGGAUUAGAUACCCUGGUAGUCCACGCUGUAAACGAUGGAUACUAGGUGUGGGAGGUAUCGACCCCUUCCGUGCCGCAGUUAACACAAUAAGUAUCCCACCUGGG
rnacentral:rRNA from 1 species